GCCAACGUAGCUCAGUUGGUAGAGCAACUGAUUCGUAAUCAGUAGGUCCGCGGUUCGAUUCCGCGCGUUGGCUCCA
rnacentral:tRNA from 2 species